AACGAACGCUGGCGGCAGGCCUAACACAUGCAAGUCGAGCGAGGACUUCGGUCCUAGCGGCUGACGGGUGAGUAACGCGUGGGAACGUGCCCUUUGCUUCGGAAUAGCCCUGGGAAACUGGGAGUAAUACCGGAUGAGCCCUUUGGGGGAAAGAUUUAUCGGCGAAGGAUCGGCCCGCGUUGGAUUAGGUAGUUGGUGGGGUAAUGGCCUACCAAGCCGACGAUCCAUAGCUGGUUUGAGAGGAUGAUCAGCCACACUGGGACUGAGACACGGCCCAGACUCCUACGGGAAGCAGCAGUGGGGAAUCUUAGACAAUGGGGGAAACCCUGAUCUAGCCAUGCCGCGUGAGCGAUGAAGGCCUUAGGGUUGUAAAGCUCUUUCAGCUGGGAAGAUAAUGACGGUACCAGCAGAAGAAGCCCCGGCUAACUCCGUG
rnacentral:rRNA from 1 species